AGCCCGCUCAGAACUUAAAUGAAUUGACGGGGCCCGGCACAAGCGGUGGAGCAUGUGGUUUUAAUUCGAUGAUACGCGAGGAACCUUACCUGGGCUCAAAUGUAUGUUGACGUAUUCUGAAAGGGAUACUUCUUCGGACAAUAUACAAGGUGCUGCAUGGUUGUCGUCAGCUCGUGCCGUGAGGUGUCGGGUUAAGUCCCAUAACGAGCGCAACCCCUAUCAUUAGUUGCCAUCAGGUCAAGCUGGGGACUCUAAUGAAACUGCCUACGCAAGUAGUGAGGAAGGUGGGGAUGACGUCAAAUCAGCACGGCCCUUACGUCCAGGGCUACACACGUGCUACAAUGGCCGAUACAGAGGGCAGCUACCUGGUGACAGGAUGCAAAUCUCCAAAGUCGGUCUCAGUUCGGAUCGGAGUCUGCAACCCGACUCCGUGAAGUUGGAUUCGCUAGUAAUCGCGCAUCAGCCAUGGCGCGGUGAAUACGUUCCCGGGCCUU
rnacentral:rRNA from 1 species